GUUUGGUCGGUUUUAGGGCAAAUUUUGUACAACAUGUCAUAUAUGGGUACCUAACUUGGAAUAAUUCUAUGACCGGCUUUUUAAGCAUGGAUUGGGUAGCAGAAAUUUAUGUUGGACGAGCCACGAAAGAGGUAGUUACCGAGGAGUUUUUGCGUGUUCUUUGUUUUUGAGUCACGUUUGGUCGGUUUUAGGGCAAAUUCUGUACAAGAUGUAAUAUAUGGGUACCUAACUUGGAAAAAUUAUGUGAACGGCAUUUUUAAGCUUGCAUUGGGU